rnacentral:lncRNA from 1 species
UCGCUACAAUAUUUUUAAGUUUCAGUAAGAAAACCCCAGAAUCCUUUAUGAUUAGAGAAAUCUGAACGUUAUCAGAUACAAUAUAGCUUGCCUUGGAUACCAUGGUUUGGACCACACUCCCUUAGAAGAAACCGAGCAUUCGCAGGCAACCAGUCCAACAACUGCUUAAGAAAACAAAGGCAGAAAGGUCAAAAUUAGGCAAACAAAACAGACUGUGAGCAACCAGUCCAACAACUGCUUAAGAAAACAAAGGCAGAAAGGUCAAAAUUAGGCAAACAAAACAGACUGUGAGCAACCACAAAAUGUAUUAAUACAAGUCCAUCAGGUUUGGCUAGGAUGCUUGACUACCUUCC